rnacentral:rRNA from 1 species
AUCAAUACGUCGGUCGUGCCUCUGGUAUGUACUGGUGUUAUUGAUUUCUCCUUUCUGAGGAACCAUGAUGUCAUUAAUUUGGUGUCGUGGGAAAUCAGGACUGUUACUUUGAAAAAUUAGAGUGUUUAAAGCAGGCAUACGCUUGAAUACAUUAGCAUGGAAUAAUGAAAUAGGACGUUCGAACCUAUUUUGUUGGUUUCUAGGAUCAACGUAAUGAUUAAUAGGGAUAGUUGGGGGCAUUAGUAUUCAAUUGUCAGAGGUGAAAUUCUUGGAUUUAUUGAAGACUAACUACUGCGAAAGCAUUUGCCAAGGAUGUUUUCAUUAAUCAAGAACGAAAGUUAGGGGGAUCGAAGACGAUCAGAUACCGUCGUAGUCUUAACCAUAAACUAUGCCGACUAGGGGAUCGGAUGAUGUUAAUUUUUUUAAUGACUCAUUCGGCGCCUUACGG